CCCCGGAAGGGACAUGUCCGUAUGGCGAAGCGACAAUGAAGGACACUCACCCGGACGAGAAUUUUAUUGAGUUUUAUUUUAAAAUCGGCCUGAAACACACAGACAUUCAAGCAGUGCGAUGCGCUAAGAGUCUGCCAUGCAGACCAGCGAUCCUGAUAAUGUUGUCGGCCUUGGAUGAUGAGGUCCAGUUACCAGGAGCACUAGUCUGCAGCUUACUGGUUCCGUCUUGCAGCUCCUCCACGCUGUCCUCCUCUCUACAGACCAAAUCAAGAAAAGGGAACCAGGAAGCUGCUGUGGAUCCUCUGCAGUAUCUGGAGAGGUCAGAGGAACGGUUCUUGGAACAGAUCGGAAGACACCAAGACGUGACCUCUGCCAUUCUCCAGAACAUCCAGAAGAUGAAUGAAAACCUUGGUUGCACUGAUGGGAUGCAUGGUGUCGGUGCUGGAGCAACUGUCCCAGAAUUAAACUGCAUUGUUGACUAUUGGCUUUUCUAGAAAAUAAAUCUUUUUUAGUACUUCA